UUGAUAGAAUGUCUCUGGGGCUAGGUGAGGAAGAAGACCAACCAGCUAACAGAUGGAACAAAACCCCAUCACAACACUGCAAUCACACCUCACUCUGUGGGCCCUGUGGAUAGAACUAGAAUUUUCCAUUGCUCUCAGGUGCCUCGUUAAGGCACUGAGGGCAUUAGUAAGCCUUAAUGACCCUAAACAGCCUCACCUGUGCACCAGACCACACCCAGGAGCCCUAUUUAAACCGAGCUCUGUACCUCAGUUUUCUUUAGAACUCUGUUGGAGGAAUGCUGCUCUUCAGCUCUGUCCCUGCCUGUGAAGAUUCUUAGUCUGGACUUCAGACUGACUGCCUGGCUUGAUCUUCUAUAUGAUUAUAGAGCAGCUUGGCAAUUGCUGGACCUGAUGGUGAUUUGUGGACUGGAUUGCUGCUUGUUCACAAGCCUGAUAGACUCCUGGCUGGACUUGGCUGCUGCUGGACCUUCUCUUCUUGGGUACCUUGAAAUUGGGCCUAGGCUGGCAGAGGUCUCUUCUCCUGCUGUGGGAGCCCAGAGGUGGCCUGGUCUGCUCUUGUUUCCUGAGGGCUGUGGAGAUCCCUGCAAGUUCCUGUCCUUCACCUCUUGGGGAGUUUACUUACUGGAUGCACUUCCUGGCCUUGUGUUUGACGCAGCAAAAGAAGAUGUGGCACUGCGGACGAGCAUACCGAGGAAGCUGCUUCUGCAGGUGGAUGUAGCUGACUCAAGGGGAAAGCUGAGCAACCUUGGAUACUGAGCUCUAAUUGCCUUGGCAGAGAUCAUUCUCUGCACGAAAACAUGGGAAAUUACAGAAGCAUAACAAGACAAUUGACCUUGCUUAUGCCUGCCAAGAAUCUUCUUGUCCAGCAACAAGGCUCAGGGUAUUGGGAUCGCUCACUGCGUGGCCUUGGCUCUGCAAGAAUUGCAUGAGUGCGGACUUGUAGAAAUGCUUUUUGUUGUGUUAAUAAAAAAAUGGAGAGGGUGAGGGUG